GAAGCCCGGACGCUCUCAGGAUGCGAGUGCCCAGUGGGCCACUUUUGGUAAGCAGAACUGGCGCUGUGGGAUGAACCAAACGACGGGUUAAGGGGCCCGAUGCAGGACGCUCAUGAGAACCCAUGAAAGGUGUUGGUUGCUAUAGACAGCAGGACGGUGGCCAUGGAAGUCGGAAUCCGCCAAGGAGUGUGUAACAACUCACCUGCCGAAGCAACUAGCCCUGAAAAUGGAUGGCGCUUCAGCGUCGACCCCAUACCCGUCCGCUGCGGCCGAGAUGGGAUCUCGUUAUGCCGCAGCGAGUAGGAGGGCGCGGGGGCGUGCGUGGAAGGUGCCGGGCGCAAGCCCGCCUGGAGCCGCCCCCGGUGCAGAUCUUGGUGGUAGUAGCAAAUACUCAAGUGAGAACCUUGAGGACUGAGGUGGAGAAGGGUUCCAUGUGAACAGCAGUUGAACAUGGGUCAGUCGGUCCUAAGGGAUGUCCGAAAGGAUUUCCGAAGGGGGGACCUUCAAAGUCUUUCGUCCGGUCCCCCCCAUGACCGAAAGGGAAUCGGGUUAAUAUUCCCGAACCCGGACACGGAGAUCGGUGCCCUCGGGCACACGUGCGGUAACGCAAACGACCUCGGAGACGUCGACGGGGGUCCCGGGAAGAGUUGUCUUUUCUUUGUAAGGGUUCGGCUCCCUGGAAUCGGCUCGCCCGGAGAUAGGGAUGCUGAACCCGUAAAGCACCGCGCCUCUUGUGGUGUCCGGAGCGCUCCCGUCGGCCCUUGAAAAUCCGAGCGAGAGUUGGUGAUUUUCGUGCCGGCCCGUACCCAUAUCCGCAGCAGGUCUCCAAGGUGAACAGCCUCUAGUCGAUAGAUC
rnacentral:rRNA from 1 species